AAGAUUGCGCAUUGGUCCAGGAAAAACUAAAUGGAUGCAUGUUUUGAAGAGAGAUUAUAUGAAGAGAUCCCCUGUUACCCACAUUUAUAUAAUUCAUCAAGCAAUAUUCAUUAGUGAACUCCUGGCGAGAACGCUUUGGAGAGAGGAAAAAUGCAAUUUUCUUUCCUAAUGCGCAUGCAGCCUCUCCUCGGUUACUGGCAUUUGACAACCAACGCCACGUUGCACUACCCUAACUAACUGGCAUGGAGUUAGGGUCGGGAAACGCACAUGGGUUGGACGCUAGACCAACACAGACCCUACAUUUUAGUAUGAAUGGGACCUCCCCCCCACUAGCUGCUGUGGAAUCACUGUGAACCAUGGCCUCUCAUGGCUUAUUGCUUAAAUAUAUACAGCAUGUAUAUUUCAACCAUCUAAUUGCUGGCCCAGUUUGUUCAUAUCAUUCACUUAAUUUAUGAUGAAACUGCUUGGCCGCAUUGGAUAAGGCACUUGCUGCCGUGUUAAGUGACGUUUAAUUCAUUAGCAAAAGAAAUGCCUUUCCCUUUGGGACCUAUUAGAUCCUGCUGAGGUGCUAAAGCCUGCCAUGAGAGUAACGGCAAAUAGCAUUGGCUAUUGCAUCACAUCUCUACUUGUUAACCAUGAGAACUGUGAACAAGUUGAUGGAAAAUAAAAUGAUGACCCUAAUGUUGAUAUUAACGUUGAAUCAUUGUUUUGUAGGGUUUUCAGGGUUUUGGAUUUGGAGAUGGAGGAUUUCAGAUGUCGUUUGGGAUCGGUGCCUUCCCGUUUGGUAUUUUCGCCACUGCUUUUAACAUUAACGACGGCAGACCACCACCAGCAGCCCCAGGGACACCACAACACACGGAUGAGCAGUUUCUGUCGAGACUUUUCCUCUUUGUAGCUCUGGUGAUUAUGUUUUGGCUGCUCAUUGCCUAAUGGACUGCAUACCAAAUACACAUCAUUGUGUUGGACAAACAGAAAAAGCAAGAUCCACUGGAAGGAAAAAACAUACCAUGCAUUGUGUGGAUUUCAAUUUAUGAAUGGGGUCACCGUAUUGAAUACUUUCCUGUGAAAAGGGUGCAAUAUGUUGCUUGUCUAACCACUACCUGAAACUGUAGAUUAUUUGGCUGCUCAUUGUUUAGAAUUUAGUUGAGUUUUCUCAACGAGCAUCAAUCCAGAUUGAUUUUGACUUUUGCAUUUCAAUGAACUGUGGAAUCAAUUUCUCAACGAAUGUGAGGUAAUAAAACGAAACAGGACAGAUAAGAGGAAGCCAAUUCUGCAAAUGAAUUUUAUUGUAAAACAAACAUUUUUAACCCUAACCAAACAAUUUGCACUAAAGAGUUUUCUGUUGAGUCUUAUAAAUUGAUACAGAAGAACCUCAACUUAAUAUAGACUCAACAUAAUCACAAACAACCUUUAACUGGCAAAUUGAAGGAAAUUAGUCUAUUAAUAUCUAUUGUCGGACUAAACCGCCAGACUGUAAACCAGAGGAUAUUUGUUCAUGUUUCAGGUUUUACUUGAGUAAAACACGACUGUAUAACAAUGGCUGAUAACUAGGUCAGAACAUAAAAUCGAAAUAAAAACUCCUUGGUAUAUCA